CAUUAAGACUGAGCUAGCAGAUGAGAAACCCUAGUCAUUGGCCAAGCAGCAUUUGUACCUAAUAUAAGUCUUUGUGUAUCAUUUGGGGCCCUAACUCAGUGGGCAGAACUCGGGCGGCUGGUAGAAAGCGCCCGUGUGGUGAUAGGGCUUGGGUGGCUUUUGGCGGAAAGAUUUAUCAUAACAGUCACCUGCCUAAGACCUGAGUAAUAUCAAGCCAACAAGAUCAGUCAGCAUUGCAGUAGGCAGAACCAAUUGGAUUCAGUGAGUUACAGUAAUAAAAAGAAAAGGAUACUAAGGGAGAUAUAUACUGAGGAUGUUGGGAGGAAUAGAAGGGGGUUUGGGGUAGAUACGAUCAAAAUACAUUUUUAUGUGUAUUAAGUUAUCAAAUAACAUGUAAAAGACGUGCUAUUUUUUUUAAACCAUGAAGGCACACAUGCAAAACCAAAUUGGGUUGAGGGGAUGAGUUGGAAAGAUGGCUCAGCAGAGGACACUGGCUGCUCUUCCAGAGGACCUGGGUUCGAUUCCCAGCACCCACAUGGCAGCUCACAAUCACCUGUAACUCUACUUCCAGGGUUCCAAUGCCCUCUUCUGGCCUCCACAGGCUCCAGGGAAACUUCGAAGAUGGUCUAUUCUUGGAGAGAAUUCUUGGAGAGAAGAAUGAACAAACCAACAAACUACCUACACACUCAAAGGCAGACGCACAGGUCACUGAAAGAGCACUCCAGGACAAUUCUUGCCAAAGGACUUCCAUUUCGAACACUGUGGGUUUAAAAAUUGUUGUAAUUUGACGCUUCUAUAUUUUGAGAAAUAAAUAAAUCAUUGUGGUCUAAAAUAAA